rnacentral:lncRNA from 10 species
GGAAUUGUCAUGGUUUCCUGAUACAUUACCUGGAAUUGGAAGAAUUGGUUUUAUACCCUGGAAUGUUGAAACAGAAGUCCUUCCUCUCAUUUCUUCUGUGUUGCCAAGAACUAUUUUUCCAACAAGUACCAUAUCUUUCGAACAUUUUGGUAAAGUUUGUGAAAUCAUUUUCUAUUUUAAAAAUUAUUAUUAUUAGUUUCUUCCAGUUUCAUAAAAAUGUGUGUUUGAUGACUUAGAAAAGCUGUAAAGUAAGGCAUAGUAACUUGUAAAUACGUCUAUAAAUAUUUGGACAAUGACUUAACUUUAGAAUUGCUUCAACUAGAGUGUAUGUAUAUAUAGAUAGAUAGAUACAUAGUCUCUCCAUAUAUCUAUAUACACACACAAUGGAAUAUUAUUCUGCCACAAAAAGAAGGAAAUCUUGUUUGUGCCAACGUGGAUGAACCUGGAGGACAUUAGGCUAAGUGAAUAAGGCAGGCACAGAAAGGCACAUAACCACAUGAUCUCACUUAUAUGUGGAAUCUAAAAAAGUUGAUCUCGUAGAACUAGAUUGUAGAUUAGGGGGUGGGGUAGGUGUGGUGGGGUGGAGGUUGUUGGUCAGAGGAUACAGUUUCAGCUGGAUAGAAUAAGUUCUAAAGAUCAAUUGUGAAACGUGAUGACUAUAAUAAUACAGUUGACCCUUGAACAACAUAGGUUUUAACUGGGUGG